rnacentral:rRNA from 1 species
CCUACGGGAGGCAGCAGUGAGGAAUAUUGGUCAAUGGACGAGAGUCUGAACCAGCUAAGUAGCGUGAAGGAUGACUGCCCUAUGUGUUGUAAACUUCUUUUAUAUGGGAAUAAACUGUUCCACGUGUGGGAUUUUGUAUGUACCAUAUGAAUAAGGAUCGGCUAACUCCGUGCCAGCAGCCGCGGUAAUACGGAGGAUCCGAGCGUUAUCCGGAUUUAUUGGGUUUAAAGGGAGCGUAGGUGGGUUGUUAAGUCAGUUGUGAAAGUUUGCGGCUCAACCGUAAAAUUGCAGUUGAAACUGGCAGUCUUGAGUACAGUAGAGGUGGGCGGAAUUCGUGGUGUAGCGGUGAAAUGCUUAGAUAUCACGAAGAACUCCGAUUGCGAAGGCAGUUCACUGGACUGCAACUGACACUGAGGCUCGAAAGUGUGGGUAUCAAACAGGAUUAGAUACCCCUGUAGUC